ACGUCAUGGCGCGCCUCCUGCGGGCUCUGCGGGGCCUGGCCCUCCGCGAGGCGCCCGGGUGGACUGCGCGGGGCCGAGCGGACUGCGGCGGCCUCCGCGCAGGUGCUGGAUCCCCGCAAGCAGGGUCUCUUACAAAACAUCAGCCAGCUCUCUCCAAGAGUGAGUGGCAGAAGAAGCUGACACCAGAGCAGUUCCAUGUCACGAGAGAAAAAGGGACAGAGCCGCCUUUCAGUGGGAUCUACCUGAAUAACAAGGAACCAGGGAUGUAUCACUGUGUGUGUUGCGACAGCCCGCUCUUCAGCUCUGAGAAGAAGUUCUGCUCCGGCACGGGAUGGCCUUCGUUCUCUGAGGCUCACGGGACCUCUGGCUCUGAUGAGAGUAACACGGGGAUCCUGAGACGUGCUGACACCUCGUUGGGACUCGCUCGCACAGAGGUCGUCUGUAAGCAGUGCGAAGCUCACCUCGGCCAUGUGUUCCCCGAUGGACCUGGGCCUUCUGGGCAGAGGUUCUGCAUCAACAGUGUGGCGCUCAGGUUCAAGCCAAAGAAACACUGACCACCUCCGAGUUCCCUGCCCUCCCUCGACACUCCCUCACUUCCAAAUUCAAUUUGCAGAACUUACGUGAAUGACUUUUUGUGACCCCAUCAGGUGUAGCCGGCCAGCCUCCUUGUCCAUGGAAUUCUCCAGGCAAGAAUACUGGAGUGGGUAGCCACUCCCUUCUCCAGAUCUUCCCCACCCAGGGAUCAAACCCAGAUCUCCCACAUUGCAGGCAGAUCCUUUACUGUCUGAGCCACCAGGGAAGCCCGGUGUGAAUGACUACCCGUUGUGAAUGGUAGUUUUAUUAACUACCAAACCAAGGCUAAGUUCGCUGCUGGCACCAUGCAAACCACACCUUCUCUAAUUUACUACCUGGAGUCAACUCAGCCCUGGCUCUGGUUUUGACUAGACUUUCACAAAAUGACAGAGGGACAACUAUUUCCAUUAAAUCGACUUCUGUGGGCUUUGCCUGGACCGGAGGACAUGACUCUCUAGGGACGCUUGGAGGCAGAUGGAUAAACCAAAAAAAAAUUCCUACAAAACAACCCUGAACUUUCCAUCACAGUUCUUCCCAGACAUAUACAGGUGAGAGAUCAAGUGAAAAGAGGAAGGAAAAUAUGGCAUUAGAGUACUCCACAGUUCCAGCAUGGAAGGAGGCAUUGAGGAGAAGGAAGAGGAGGGUUGUGGACAAGAGACCCGGGUUUGAUACCUGGGUUGGGAAGAUCCCCUGGAGAAAGGAAUGGAAACCCACUCCAGUAUUCUUGCUUGAAGAAUUCCAUCGACGGAGGAGCCUGGCUGGCUGCAGUCCAUGGGAUCGCAAGGAGUUGGACACGACUGAACGACUGACACAGAUGCACCCACAGUGAGAGACACUUACAAGCUCAGGAAAAACCAGACUCCUGUUGCCCUUGGUCUCACUGCAGAGCAUGGUUCAUUGAGCUGGAAGAGUAUGCAAAAUCAGCUAUACCUACGGAGUCUUCAGGAGUGCUUUACAUGGGCUCCCAGCCCUCUGCUUGUCCUCAGCUGUCCUUCAGUUGCAACCCGUUGAUCCCUGUCCUGCAUACGGAUUGAUGCCACCCCUGCCAUGCUGACUUAAAGUGCUGCUGCUGCUGCUAAGUUGCUUCUGCUGCUGCUAAGUCACUUCGGUCGUGUCCGACUCUGUGCGACCCCAUGGAUGGCGGCCCGCCGGGCUCCACCAUCCCUGCUAUUCUCCAGGCAAGAACAAUGCAUAACCAGGCAACUGAUUUUUGUUCGUUAAUUUUGAAUGUUGUAACUUUGUUGAAUUCAUCUAUUAGUUUUAAUGGUUUCUUUGUGGAGUCUUUAGGGUUUUCUCUGUGUAAGAUCGUGUCAUCUGUAACCAGAGAUAAUUUUACUUCUUUUCUAAUUUGAAUGCCUUUUGUUUCUUUUUCUUGUCUAAUUGCUUGGGCUAAGACUUUUAGUAUUAUGUUGAAUGGAAAUGAGGAAAGUUGUAACUCUUGUUUUGCUGCUGAUCCUAUAGAGAAAGCUUUCAGUCUUUUACCAUUGAGUAUGAUGUUAGUGCUGGGCUUUUCAUAUGUGUCAUUUAUUAUGUUAAGGUAGUUACCUUUUAUUCCUGGUUGUUGAGUAUUUACAUCGUGAAAAAGUGUUAAAUUUUGUCAAAUGCUUUUUUUUUCGUUGAUUGAAAUGAUUAUGGAUUCCCCACUCUCCCUCAUUUUGCUAAUAUGGUGUAUUAUGUUGAUUAAUAUUUGCAUGUUGAACUAUCUUUGUAUUCCAGAAAUAAAUCCCAUUUGGCCACAGUGAAAAAAAAAAGAAUCUUAUCCCCUUUAGUUCUAGUCACCUCAGAAAUUUUCUGCUGCCUAUGGAGAUAAUAAUUUAUCAUCAAUAAUUUACAAUCUAAUAGAUUUA